rnacentral:rRNA from 1 species
UAAUACGGAGGGUGCAAGCGUUAUCCGGAUUCACUGGGUUUAAAGGGUGCGUAGGUGGGUCUGUAAGUCCGUGGUGAAAUCUCCGAGCUUAACUUGGAAACUGCCAUGGAUACUAUAGGUCUUGAAUAUUGUGGAGGUCAGCGGAAUAUGUCAUGUAGCGGUGAAAUGCUUAGAUAUGACAUAGAACACCAAUUGCGAAGGCAGCUGGCUACGCAUAUAUUGACACUGAGGCACGAAAGCGUGGGGAUCAAACAGGAUUAGAUACCCUGGUAGUCCACGCCCUAAACUAUGGAUACUCGACAUACGCGAUACACAGUGUGUGUCUGAGCGAAAGCAUUAAGUAUCCCACCUGGGAAGUACGAUCGCAAGAUUG